AGGACGAACGCUGGCGGCGUGCCUAACAUAUGCAAGUCGAACGCGCUCCAUUCGGUAGCAAUACUGAUGAAGAGCGAGUGGCGAACGGGUGAGUAGCACGUGAGCAACCUGCCCCGAAGACUGGGACAACACCGGGAAACCGGUGCUAAUACCGGAUAUCCCUAUCGGACCGCAUGAUCUGAUAAGGAAAUGGAUUCCGCUUCGGGAGGGGCUCGCGGCCUAUCAGCUAGUUGGUGGGGUAACGGCCCACCAAGGCAUCGACGGGUAGCUGGUCUGAGAGGACGAUCAGCCACACUGGGACUGAGACACGGCCCAGACUCCUACGGGAGGCAGCAGUGGGGAAUCUUGCGCAAUGGGCGAAAGCCUGACGCAGCAACGCCGCGUGGAGGACGAAGGCUUUCUGAGUUGUAAACUCCUUUCAGCAGGGACGAUAGUGACGGUACCUGCAGAAGAAGCACCGGCAACUACGUGCCAGCAGCCGCGGUAA
rnacentral:rRNA from 1 species